rnacentral:rRNA from 1 species
UACGUAGGGCGCAAGCGUUGUUCGGAGUUACUGGGCGUAAAGAGUGCGUAGGCGGUUUUCUAAGUUUGGUGUGAAAUCUCCCGGCUUAACUGGGAGGGUGCGCCGAAGACUGGAAGGCUUGAGUAUGGGAGAGGUAAGCGGAAUUCCUGGUGUAGCGGUGAAAUGCGUAGAUAUCAGGAGGAACACCUGCGGUGUAGACGGCUUACUGGACCAUCACUGACGCUGAGGCACGAAAGCGUGGGUAGCAAACAGG